rnacentral:rRNA from 1 species
UGCGUAGGGUGCAAGCGUUAAUCGGAAUUACUGGGCGUAAAGCGUGCGCAGGCGGCUUUGCAAGACAGAUGUGAAAUCCCCGGGCUUAACCUGGGAACUGCAUUUGUGACUGCAUAGCUAGAGUGCGGCAGAGGGGGAUGGAAUUCCGCGUGUAGCAGUGAAAUGCGUAGAUAUGCGGAGGAACACCGAUGGCGAAGGCAAUCCCCUGGGCCUGCACUGACGCUCAUGCACGAAAGCGUGGGGAGCAAACAGGAUUAGAUACCCGAGUAGU